GACGAACGCUGGCGGCGUGCUUAACACAUGCAAGUCGAACGGAAAGGCCCUGCGUUUGUGGGGUGCUCGAUUGGCGAACGGGUGAGUAACACGUGAGUAACCUGCCCUUGACUUUGUGAUAACUUCAGGAAACUGGGGCGAAUACCGGAUAGGAGCUCCUGCUGCAUGGUGGUGGUUGGAAAGUUUCGGCGGUUGGGGAUGGACUCGCGGCUUAUCAGCUUGUUGGUGGGGUAGUGGCUUACCAAGGCUUUGACGGGUAGCCGGCCUGAGAGGGUUAACGGCCACAUUGGGACUGCGAUACGGCCCAGAAUCCUACGGGCGGCAGCAGUGGGGAAUAUUGCACAACGGGCGGAAGUCUGAUGCAGAAACGCCGCGUGCGGAGUGACGGCCUUCGGGUUGUAAACAGCUUUCGACUGUGACGAAGCGUGCGUGACGGUAAUGGGUAAAGAAGCACCGGCUAACUACGUG
rnacentral:rRNA from 1 species